AUGGAGAGAUGGAAGGGGGUGGUGAGGAGCGGGGUGGAGGGUGCAGAGGGGAGAGAGGCUGCGGGGGGAGGGGUGGCUCAGUCCACAGGGCUGCAGUCUCCGGUGACAACAAAACGCGGGGUGGCUCCUGCUCCAGCCAUUACCCCUGAAAGCAGGGGGAAGUUGAUGCCGAGGCGUGCCAGGAGCGAUGGCUCGUCUCCGGUCAUCGAUAUGGAGGCCGCGAGGAGGGCGAUCAGUGGCUUCCUGGUGGUGGGGAGGCUUCUAUCGCCCUUCCAAGUGAACCCGCGGAUCAUCACCGACGACCUCCGUGCUACUUCGGCUUGGAAGCUGCAAGGAGCAGUCACUGCUCAAGAUGUGGCCAACGCGGAUGGGAGGUUCGUCCUUAAUUUCUCUGUCGAGGAAGACCGGAGGUUCAUUCUCAAGGCCCGGCCAUGGCACUAUAAGAGUGAUGGUGUCAUCUUCGCUGAGUUUGAUGGCAAGGGAAACCCUGCGGAGGUCGAUCUUGGCGUUAUGGCAAUUUGGGUUCAGGUUCGUGACCUCCCAUUUGAACUUAAAACUGAGAGUAUGGGCUGGUCUUUUGGGGACCAACUUGGCGAUGUGAUUGCCAUUUCCCAUAGAAACCACAUGAUCGUAGAGAAAUUUUUGCGUUUAAGGGUGGAAAUCCCACUACAUGAGCCUCUUAAGACAUCAGUAGAGUUCACUCCGCUAGGUAGUUCUAAGAGGAUUCAGUAUGAUAUUCGAUAUGAAAAACUUCCACUGUAUUGUGAGUGUUGUGGGAUUGUAGGCCAUACAUCAGAGAGCUAUUGUAGCAUACCAAAAGAAAAAAGAGUAGCUUCAUUUCCUAAGAACCUUAGCGUAGAAGCAUAUUGGAAAGGAAUAGGUUCAAGCAAAAGAGCAAUUCAGUUCUCUAGCUCCAGCAACAAGUACACCUCCAGAGUUACGAAGGGAAGUGUGGUCAAGGUGACCAAAGCCGUGGGUGAACUCAAGGUGACGGACAAGAUCGCUACGGCUACCACGACGACGGGGGCUGCGGAGACCGGGGGGCCAAGCCAGGAGGGCCUCCCACUCGGCCAGGAGGGCCGGGUGGCUCCCUCGCCAACUGCACCAGGUGCUGGCACCAGUCAGGAGGACCAGUCAGCGCCUCCGACAGCACCUGCCGACUCUGGCCAUGAGGGCCAGGGGACGGGGGACUGGAGCUGUAUGCCCCACGGUGCAAAGCUCAACCAGGAGGGUCUUGAGUUGAUGCACCAAGGGCCGUCCAGUUCCAUUCAGGAGCUGCGUUCUGCUGCUGGACACAUGGGGUGUCCCGCUGGCCAGGAGGGCCAGGGGAUCCAUCCAUUGGGUGAGGGCAGCACUUUACUUGCUGGUGCCGAUGCUUUCCAGAACCAGCUCCUCUUUAAGCCUAGUGUGCUGGAGGCUUUGUCAGGCGCUGUUGCGGCAAGGCUUGCUGUUCAAGGCACGGCCAAUGAGUCUGUGAUUUUUAAAUUUUCUGCUAAAAAGAAUCCCACGCAGGGUAAGUCUAUGAGAAAGGAGAGGAAAGAUAAAAAGAGGGCAGGGAAUGAAAAAACAGAGAAAGCUCGUAAAGAAAUCAUAGGGAAAAAGAGGGGUAAUCCUUUUGGUGCCCCACCAAUUAAAAUUUUCUUUUGA
rnacentral:rRNA from 1 species